GACUCUGAGACGGGUAGAGAAGGCAGAAAGGAGAGGAGAAGCUGGUCCAGAGCACAGAGGGUCUUCACCUUCAGGGCGUGAGGAGCCAGAAUACGCCUGGAAUGCCUUGAAAGAGCCACCCGUGGAAGGUUCAGGAAGGCUCCCCGGGGAGCUGGCCUGUGAGACAGGCCUGGAAGAAUGAUGCUCGUUCUCAGCAUUGCCGUCUGCAAGCAUUCUUGGAGAGCCGUUUUCAUUGGGUUUUCUGCCCGUGGACCUCACAGGGCUGCCCCUCCUGGUCUGGAGCGGAGGCUCCUUGCCCUCCCUUUGCAACACGGCUUUCCUGCCCGGUGGGCCAUUAGUUCUGCGGCUGGACGGGAGUGCGCGUUUGUGGGCGGCAGAGAUGGGCAUCUGCCAGGCCUGCGUUAAUUGCAGGGCCUCCUUGAGUUUCUCAACAAGCCAGUUCAUGUAGCGGGAAGAUCAGCAGAAGUGUGGGUGAAAGAGAAAACCCGGAAGACAUUCAUAACGGGGACAGGAUCUCGAGAUGCCAUGUCUAUUCCCGCUCCAUCUGUUCCAGCUGAUUUCUCCCGCUCAUCUCUUGCCCCAGCAACGUCCUGCCUCCUCUGGUUUUCUUAGUGACUCCGCUGUCCACAGCAGCUUGGGUUCCCUCUUUCCCCACAGCCUCCCCAGCCUCCUGCAGGCGACCCUAAGCUGCCUCUCCCCCGAACUCGAACACUCUCACAAUCAGACUCCCACAGUCAGACACACCAGUCAGCACCGGAUGCAUCUCCAACUGCACGGCGUGUGUCCAUUGUGUUU
rnacentral:lncRNA from 1 species